CCUACGGGGGGCUGCAGUGAGGAAUCUUGCGCAAUGGGCGAAAGCCUGACGCAGCGACGCCGCGUGACUGAUGAAGUCUUUCGGGAUGUAAAGGUCUUUUGUGGGGGACGAAGGAAGUGACGGUACCCCACGAAUAAGCCCCGGCUAACUACGUGCCAGCAGCCGCGGUAAUACGUAGGGGGCGAGCGUUGUCCGAAUUCACUGGGCGUAAAGCGCGCGUAGGCGGGCUUUUAAGUUGUGGGUGAAAUCCCGAGGCUUAACCUCGGAGCUGCCUGCAAAACUGGAAGCCUUGAGGUUUGGAGAGGGAAGUGGAAUUCCAGGUGUAGCGGUGAAAUGCGUAGAUAUCUGGAGGAACACCCGUGGCGAAGGCGGCUUCCUGGCCAUAUCCUGACGCUGAGGUGCGAAAGCUAGGGGAGCGAACGGGAUUAGAUACCCCAGUAGUC
rnacentral:rRNA from 1 species